UCNGUAACAAGGUUUCCGUAGGUGAACCUGCGGAAGGAUCAUUG
rnacentral:rRNA from 4 species